UACGUAGGGGGCAAGCGUUGUUCGGAAUUAUUGGGCGUAAAGAGCUCGUAGGCGGCUUGUCACGUCGGGUGUGAAAGCCCGGGGCUUAACCCCGGGUCUGCAUUCGAUACGGGCUAGCUAGAGUGUGGUAGGGGAGAUCGGAAUUCCUGGUGUAGCGGUGAAAUGCGCAGAUAUCAGGAGGAACACCGGUGGCGAAGGCGGAUCUCUGGGCCAUUACUGACGCUGAGGAGCGAAAGCGUGGGGAGCGAACAGG
rnacentral:rRNA from 1 species